CCUACGGGUGGCAGCAGUAGGGAAUUUUCGGCAAUGGGGGGAACCCUGACCGAGCGACGCCGCGUGAGGGAAGAAGGAAUUCGUUCUGUAAACUUCUGUUAUAAAGGAAGAAAGACGGCUGGAGGUAAUGACAUCCGAGUGACGGUCCUUUAUGAGAAAGCCACGGCUAACUACGUGCAAGCAGCCGCGGUAGUACGUAGGUGGCAAGGGUUAUCCGGAAUUAUGGGGCGAAAGGAGGGAGCAGGCGGCAGCGAAGGACGGUGGUAAAAGACUGAAGCUUAACUUCAGUCAGCCAUAGAAACCGGGCAGCUAGAGUGCAGGAGAGGAUCGUGGAAUUCCAUGUGUAGCGGUGAAAUGCGUAGAUAUAAGGAGGAACACCAGUGGCGAAGGCGACGAACUGGCCUGCAACUGACGCUCAGGCCCGAAAGCGUGGGGAGCAAAUAGGAUUAGAUACCCUAGUAGUC
rnacentral:rRNA from 1 species